rnacentral:rRNA from 1 species
UACGUAGGGGGCGAGCGUUGUCCGGAUUUAUUGGGCGUAAAGAGCUCGUAGGCGGCUUGGCAAGUCGGGUGUGAAACCUCCAGGCUCAACCUGGAGACGCCACUCGAUACUGCCAUGGCUAGAGUCCGGUAGGGGGAUCUGGAAUUCCUGGUGUAGCGGUGGAAUGCGCAGAUAUCAGGAGGAACACCGGUGGCGAAGGCGGGAUCCUGGGCCAGUACUGACGCUGAGGAGCGAAAGCGUGGGGAGCAAACAGG